UGGGUGGUAAGAGGAUAUUGUCCAGACUCAUCAGUUAUUACCACUGGAAGGCAGCUUACCCAGCGGCACAUGCACCCUCGUCGUUAGAGGAACUGAGUCAGGCCCAGAAGGGAGUGGGGCUGACCCAAACCCAGGGCUGCCUGGAAUCAGCUUACCGGCCAGCCUCAUCCGUGCAGGAAUUUCACAAAUAUCACUGAGGCUGUGCGGUGUCAGGUGCUGCUUCAGUGCUGCAGACACAGCCGUGAGCAAACAGGCCAAACUUCGGAGGUGGGGAGCUCCAUCCAUCAACUGGCUAAGUAAGGGGCCGUGGACUAUUGAGAAAUUUAUAAGAGAAUUUGUUCCCAGGCCAAUCUGGGUGUGGGGAAAGAGCUGGAAUCAGGACCCAGACUUCUUUGGCCAGCUGUUUCAAGCAAGUAAGGAACUUGACAAACUAUGUGAUCCUUAUAAAAUAUUUGACGAUUUGGGAGCCAGUGAGAAGACGAAGCCCAACAGAUGUGAUUUGGGAUUAGCUGCUGACCUAAUAGCUGGUAAGCUAUUUAAGAUCUCUAAGCUUUGGUGUCGUCACUUGUGUAAAAGGGGGACUCAAAAUUUGCUCAACAAACACAUUUUGAAUGUUUACCAUGUGCCCGGCACUGUUCUAGGCACCAGGGAAGGCUCCACGAGGAAACAUGACAGACGUACUCUCUGCUCUCCUUGACUUUAUCAUGCCACAGCAUGUGAGUACUGAAUGAAAGAUUGUAUAAUUAAGUUUAUAGUUAAGAUUAUAUAAUACCAAUGGCAAUAACAACUACCUCAGCAGACGUUGUGAGGAUUAAAAGAGUCAGUCAGGCAAAUUCAAGACUGGUGUCAUAAUACUAGUUAUUAGUUUUGCUAACAAUCCUAAUUAGUGUAAAUAUGUGUUGGGUAUUAGUUCCUCUCCUGUUUGGGGGUUUAUAUUUAAGUGGUUAAAAGUAACAGCUACUACAUGACUUAGAUGUCUGUUACCCUUAUAGGAAAUGGGAAGGCAAACAUUCCUGCUAGUGUUAGGGACAUGGUCUCCCCAGCUUAAGGAAAGAAGCUGAAGUAGCUGUUCAUUGCUGUCAGGAAGAACAGUUUUAAUAUUAACAUUAACUAGUGUUAGUCACUCAGUUGUGUCUGACUCUCUGCGACCCCAUGGAUUGCACCCUGCCAAGCUCCUCUGUCCACGGGAUUCUCCAGGCAAGAAUACUGGAGUGGGUUGCCAUUCCCUUCUCCAGGGGAUCUUCCCAACCCAGGGAUCGAACCCAGGUCUCCCACAUUGCAGGUGGACUCUACCAUCUGAGCCACCAGGGAAACCCCACAGCCUAGCCCUGGGAGUAGAGGAUGUGGGCACAGAAUUUUGCAAAUGGUCUCUGAAUCCUGAUGCACACCAAGUGUUCUAUGUAGAAUGAAAACAUAUUGUGCCCACAUAUGGACAUUACUGUAAUUAUAGAUGCUGAUGUGAUUCAUACAGUACAGAUUGCUUUAAGUGAAUUCCUGAAGCCUUACUAGCAUUUUUUUUCAUUAUGUAUUUUCUCAAUCAAAUCUUAUCCUGCCUCUUGCUGACUUAAACCCUUUAACAGCUCCUCAUUGCCUGGGAUAAAGUCCACAUUCCCUCCCCAGCACUGCCCUGCCGACCUCUCUUGGUAACUACUCCACCCCCAUCCCUGUCUAUUCACCAAGCUCUGACAUGCAGGCUCUUCCAGGCCAUGACUUAGAGCCUUUGGCGCUCAACUUACAAUUUGUUCUGGCAUGAACAGAUCCAGCUUCUGAGUAGGGAAAGGUAUCAUUGACCCUUCCCACAGGCGUCAUGUCAUUUUGGGGUAGUUAUGGGUCCACUCAGGCCCUGGAUCAAGCCGGCCUUGCCGUGGGUCAGUCAGUUCUCCACAGACCACCUCUUCUCCCAGGCUCCUGCUCCACUCUCUGUACUCCUCUCCCUCUGGGAGUCAGCAAGGCCCAGAUGGAGGUAAAAAAUCGCUUGUCGUCAUUUGUCGUUUAGUUGUUCAGUCAUGUCUAACUCCUUGCGACCCCAUGGGCUGUAGCCCUCCAGGUUCCUCUGUCCAUGAAAUUCUCCAGGCAGAAUACUGGAGUGGGUAGCCAUUCCCUUCUCUGGGGGAUCUUCCCAACCCAGGGAUUGAACCCAGGUCUCCCUCACUGCGGGCAGAUUCUUUACCAUCUGAACCACUAGGGAAGCCCCUGGUGGAGGUGAGCUCCUCCUAGCUUCUUCCUCUGUCCCUGUUGCAUCAACACUCCAAACAAAUACACAAGCCAUCUUUCAAUGAAAGCCAUUUUCCUUUCAAGGGUUUCAAAACUAAACCAUUUGGAAAUCAGAAACUUCUUGACGUAGACACUGAUGUCUACAGUGUUAUAUGGAAAUCCAAGGCCCAUAAUGCCCUGUGCCUUCACACACUGUGUAUGUGAGUUAUUCAGAUCCCUGGAGAGAGGAGUCAUUGAUAAAACAUAUGGGGGAAGCAUUUUUUAGUUCUCUCCUCACACUUAAAACCCUCCAAAGAGUGAAGAGAAGCAACUCCAUUUUUUUUUUUUUUGCAACUCCAUUUUUAAAUGAUAAGGAAUAGAAGAAAGCAAUCUCUCCAUUUUUUUUAAUGAAAUAUCAUGUAAACAAAAGAAUGUACUUAACAUAUAUGUACAGUUUAACAAUAAUAAUAAAAUGUACCUGCCAACCAGCUUUAAAAAUCCAAUUUAACUAGUGCUUUAGAAGGUCCUAUGUGGACUUCCGCAGUCACACCCCUUUUUUUCUCCCUCCAGGCAGUAACUAUUUUGCUGAAUUUUUACUUAAUCAUUCCCUUAGUUUUCUUUAGAAGCUUACUCUUUUUCUUUUUUUCGCUCUUUUUAAAGUUUUUUCUCUCCCUUUUAAAAAUUGAAGUAUGGUUGUACAAUACUACUUAAGUUACAGCUGUAAAAUAUAGUGAUUCACAAA